GUCUCUGAAAAAUGCAUAUAUAUUUCAACUAAUAGAAUGCAGUGGAGCUAACUCCACAAUAUUCUCAUGUGUAGUGGGAAUGUUGAAGAAGAAACCAUGACAGGCUCUGAAAUAGGUACCUGGUGACUUUCUGCUCCAGGGAAAGAUCCAAUUUUUCUGUAUCUUUAUCCCAAGAUCUCUUGCUCUAGGCUCUAGGCUCAUUGCUUAAAUUUGUUUCCUGCAUUCCCUACUAUUUAUCUGUGUUACCAGACAAGUAGCAGUUCUCUCAUCUGUUAAAAUGUAGAUCUCAUGUUUAUUUUAUAGGUUGCUAAGAGGAUGAAAUAAGUAAUGGAAGUGGGAUGCAAGGACAGUGGCUGCCAAAUACUAACUCUUCCAUGAUCGUCAUUUUCAGCAUCAUCGAGUUCUCCUAAUGACUUGGUCAUCUCAAUCUUCUACUGUCUAC
rnacentral:lncRNA from 1 species